ACUUUUAUUCCCUUCUUACUCUCAGAAUAUAUUACUGAUUCUUUUAUUAUUAUCCAUUACCCUGAAAACUAUUAAUUCUGCUUAUAAAAUUGCAUCUACAUUGAAUGGGUCAAGAAGUAUGGGAAAACAAAGAAGUUUUGGUCAGAUGGAGUUGAUGAAAGGAAUAAGGAUAAAUUGAAUGAAGAGAUAGUGACUGGCUCAAAGUCACUUAGCAAGCUUUUACCACAUAGUGAGCUACAGCUGAAAGGUGAACUUCAACCAAGAUUCAUCCAUACAGAGGCUCAUCCACAUAUUCCUGGUCAAUGUAUUUUCUUUCCAAUUUUGAGUUUGAAAGCACAUCAUUGUAAAAGGCACAGCCCUCACAGCCACCUUCUUCCUUUGCUCCAGGAAGGAGGCUGCUAGAUUAGCUGAGCCCACUAAAGAUGGCAGUGAGCUGCUUGAAUGCACUGUUGGUGAAAAAAUAUGGUGAAGUCAGACUCCACAGCUGAUAAAUUUUACUGCGUUCUCACUCAGAUCAAGCUAGAAAGCAGGAGACUGUGAGUUCCAGUCCUGCCUUAGUCAUGCAUGCCAGCUGGGCGAUCUUGGACCAGUCACUCUCUCUCAGUCCAACUUACCCUCCAGGGUUGUUGUGGGGAAAAUAGGAGGAGGAAGAAUGUGUUGGAUAUGUUUGCCACCUUGAGUUAUUUGAAUAAAUGUGAAAUAGAAAUAAACAAACAUGAUGAAAAUAAUAAAUACUUGGUGGCUUUCUUAUAGCAAUCAGAUGGAAACUCAAAUCUAGUACAUGGGAGUAGGGGGUUACAUUUCUCAUUUCAAAGACACUUUGCCAGUGAGCCCAACUUCUCUCUUAGCAGAUAACUCUUGAAAUUUUGUAAAAGAAGAGACAUUUCCUGUCCCUUUAGUUCCUCUCUCUGAUUUUAAACAUUGCUAUCAUAUCUGUCAGAAUAUUCAUGAACUGGCAGAGACUUAGUAACAAGGUCAGGCAAUGAAUAGGCAUAGCAACUAAAUCAGCCAAUUAGGAGAUGAGACAGACUGGAGCCAGGCCGUGUCUCAGUCUGCAGCUUCUGAGUCUGUGCAGAGAAUUGAAACUGAAACUAAGCAGUCUGUGCAUGCUCUCUGCUCUGCUGAAAUGAAAUUAACUUUCAUUCUUACCUUGUGUUUUGCUUGUAACUGCUACUAAAUUGAAGAAGAAUCUAUAUUAGUAUUGUAUUCUUACCUUCAUGUAUUAUUAUAUAUAUAAAGAAGUUAAUGGAUCCUGCUG